AUCUGAUGAAUGAAAUUUAAAUAAAUUGAUUUAUUAAACAUUCUUGUAAAUUAUGAGAUCUAAAACUGUAAUGUUGGGUUCACACAAUGAUUGACAAAGAUAACAUGACUUGAUCCAUGUCCCUGUUAGGAUAAUGAUUGAUUGGCUAAAGUUGUGUUUGUUUUACUCCUGUUUAAAAGAUUCAGUGCCUCUGUGAUUGCCAAAGCUUCAGAAUGGAGGUUCAAACGGCAAUUCUUUUAUUUUGUCUCUUCCUCUUCUCAGCCGCAGAAGAUUGUAUGAACUGCACUGGAGAAGACUACAGAGGAAGCAUCUCCAUCACUGAGAGUGGAUACACCUGCCAACGCUGGGACUCUCAGACACCACACAGCCAUUUGUAUAUCCCUGCACGUUUACAUGAGAAAGACUUGGAGGAGAACUAUUGUAGGAACCCCGAUGGAAAGCCUAAGCCCUGGUGCUUCACCACAAACCCGUCCAAACGCUGGGAAUUCUGCUCUGUUCCUCAAUGCUUGACUGAACUGCCUGCAUUUGUAUCAAGGCACACGUGUACUACUGGAGAUGGAAGCUCCUACAGGGGGAUCAUUUCUGUAACCGAAUCGGGGAAAACUUGCCAAAGCUGGGAAUCUCAAACACCUCACGUGCAUUCCAUGACUUCAGAAAACUUUCCAUGCAAAGGUCUUCGAGGAAACUACUGUAGAAACCCUGAUGGUAACAAAGGUCCCUGGUGUUACACCUCCGACCCUGAGACCCGCUGGGAAUACUGCAAUGUCUCCAGAUGUGAGGAUCGACAUAGACCUGAUGACCCACGAAUGAAUCCUGAGCAGGAAGGAGAGCUUUUUAUUAAAAGGGCUGCAGAAGAUUGUAUGCUCUGCAAUGGAGAAGACUACAGAGGAAACAUCUCCAUCACUGAGAAUGGAUUCACCUGCCAACGCUGGGACUCUAAAACACCACACAACCAUUUUUAUAACCCUGCACUCUUAUUUGAGAAGGACUUGGAGGAGAACUAUUGCAGGAACCCUAAUGGACUGCCUAAGCCCUGGUGCUUCACCACAAACCCGUCCAAACGCUGGGAAUUCUGCUCUGUUCCUCAAUGCUUGACUGAACCGCCUGCAUUUGUUUCAAGGCACACGUGUACUAUUGGAGAUGGAAGCUUCUACAGGGGCAACAUUUCUGUAACUGAAUCGGGGAAAACUUGCCAAAGCUGGGAAACUCAAACACCUCACGUGCAUUCCAUGACUUCAGAAAACUUCCCAUGCAAAGGUCUUCGAGGAAACUACUGUAGAAACCCUGAUGGUAACAAAGGUCCCUGGUGUUACACCUCCGACCCUGAGACCCGCUGGGAAUACUGCAAUGUCUCCAGAUGUGAGGAUCGACAUAGACCUGAUGACCCACGAAUGAAUCCUGAGCAGGAAGGAGAGCUUUUUAUUAAAAGGGCUGCAGAAGAUUGUAUGCUCUGCAAUGGAGAAGACUACAGAGGAAACAUCUCCAUCACUGAGAAUGGAUUCACCUGCCAACGCUGGGACUCUAAGACACCAAACAACCAUAAAUAUAUUCCUGAAUUCUUAUUUGAGAAGGACUUGGAGGAGAACUAUUGCAGGAACCCUAAUGGACUGCCUAAGCCCUGGUGCUUCACCACAAACCCGUCCAAACGCUGGGAAUUCUGCUCUGUUCCUCAAUGCUUGACUGAACCGCCUGCAUUUGUUUCAAGGCACACGUGUACUAUUGGAGAUGGAAGCUUCUACAGGGGCAACAUUUCUGUAACUGAAUCGGGGAAAACUUGCCAAAGCUGGGAAACUCAAACACCUCACGUGCAUUCCAUGACUUCAGAAAACUUCCCAUGCAAAGGUCUUCGAGGAAACUACUGUAGAAACCCUGAUGGUAACAAAGGUCCCUGGUGUUACACCUCCGACCCUGAGACCCGCUGGGAAUACUGCAAUGUCUCCAGAUGUGAGGAUCGACAUAGACCUGAUGACCCACGAAUGAAUCCUGAGCAGGAAGGAGAGCUUUUUAUUAAAAGGGCUGCAGAAGAUUGUAUGCUCUGCAAUGGAGAAGACUACAGAGGAAACAUCUCCAUCACUGAGAAUGGAUUCACCUGCCAACGCUGGGACUCUAAAACACCACACAACCAUUUUUAUAACCCUGCACUAUUAUUUGAGAAGGACUUGGAGGAGAACUAUUGCAGGAACCCCAAUGGACUACCUAAGCCCUGGUGCUUCACCACAAACCCGUCCAAACGCUGGGAAUUCUGCUCUGUUCCUCGAUGCUUGACUGAACCGCCUGUAUUUGUAUCAAGGCACACGUGUACUAUUGGAGAUGGAAGCUUCUACAGGGGGAACAUUUCUGUAACCGAAUCGGGGAAAACUUGCCAAAGCUGGGAAACUCAAACACCUCACGUGCAUUCCAUGACUUCAGAAAACUUCCCAUGCAAAGGUCUUCGAGGUAACUACUGCAGAAACCCUGAUGGUAGCAAAGGUCCCUGGUGUUUCACCUCCGACCCUGAGAGACGCUGGGAAUACUGCAGUGUUUCCAGAUGUGAGGAUCGAAGUAGAUUUUGGGCCUCAUAUUUCAACUAUAAAGAUGACCCACCAAUGUAUCCUGAGCAGGAAGGAGAGGUUAUUAUUAAAAAAGAUAAGAAUGAAUGUAUACACUGCAGAGGACAAGAUUACAGAGGCAAGAUCUCCACCAGUGAGAGUGGAUACACCUGCCAACGCUGGGACUCUCAGACACCCGUGAAUCAUAGCUACGACCCUUCAGCUUAUCCUGGCAAGCACUUGGAAGAGAACUAUUGUAGGAACCCCGAUGACAAGCCUAGGCCCUGGUGCUGGAUCACAAAUUCAACCCUUCGCUGGGAAUUCUGCUCUAUUCCUCAAUGCACGACUGAACCGCCAGCAAAUGUACAAAAGCUUGCGUGUGCUACUGAUGAUGGAAUCUCCUACCGGGGCAACAUUUCUGUGACUGUAUCAGGGAAAACUUGCCAGAAAUGGACAUCUGAAACACCUCAUAAGCAUAGUGUAACUCCAACAACUUACCCUUGCAGUGGCCUAGAAGAGAACUACUGCAGAAACCCUGAUAGUAAAAAAGGUCCCUGGUGUUACACCAAAGAUCCUGAGACCCGCUGGGAAUACUGCAGUGUGCCCAUUUGUAAAGAUCCAUCUAGACCUGCUGCAGAUGAAUGUAUGCAAUGCACAGGAGAAGACUACAGAGGCACGAUCUCCGUCACUGAGAGUGGAUACACCUGCCAACGCUGGGACUCUCAGAGACCACACAAACACAAAUUCAUCACUUCAGUUUUACAUGAGGAGGCCUUGGAGGAGAACUAUUGUAGAAACCCUGAUGGGAAGCGGAGGCCCUGGUGCUAUACCACAGAUCCGUCCAAACGCUGGGAAUUCUGCUCUAUUCCUGAAUGCGCAACUGAACCCACAAUUGUACAAAAAGAGUUCAAAUGUGCCACUGGAAAAGGACGCUCCUAUAGGGGCAAGAUUUCUGUGACUGUUUCAGGGAAAACCUGCCAGAAAUGGUUAUCUAAUAUUGCUAGACUGCAUUCUACACUUCCAGAAGACUUCCCGUGUGGAGGUCUUGAAGGGAACUACUGCAGGAACCCUAAUAAUAGAAAAGGUCCCUGGUGUUUCACUACAGACCCUAGGACCCAGUGGGAAUACUGCGAUGUACCCAAUUGUGAAGAUCCGCCUAGACUUGCUGUAAAUGAAUGUUUGCACUGCAUUGGAGAAGACUACAGAGGCAACAUCUCCAUCACUGAGAGCGGACACACCUGCCAACGCUGGGACUCUCAGACGCCACACAAACAUCUUUAUGUUCCUCCACUUUCAGAUGACAUGCACCUGGAGGAGAAUUAUUGUAGGAACCCUGAUAGAAAGCCCAGGCCUUGGUGCUAUACCACAGAUCCAUCCAAAAGCUGGGAAUUCUGCUCGAUUCCUAAAUGUCUAGGAACUAAACCACCCACAAUUGAACCAACGUUCACCUGUGCUACUGGAGAUGGCAGCUCCUACAGAGGUUCUAUUUCUGUGACCAAAUCAGAAAAAACUUGUCAGCGAUGGACAUCUAAUAUUUCUAAGAUAUCUUCCACACUUCCAGAAGACUACCCAUGCAGUGGCCUUCAAAGGAACUACUGCAGGAACCCUGAUGGUAAAAAAAUGCCCUGGUGUUACACCACAGACCCUAAGAUCGAGUGGGAAUACUGCGAUGUCCCUGUUUGUGAAGAUAAAACUGAAGAAUGUACAAACUGCAAAGGAAUCGAGUACAGGGGCAAGAUCUCCACCACUGAGAAUGAAUACACCUGCCAACGCUGGGACUCUCAGAAACCCCACAAACAUGGUUUCAACCCUGCAUACGCGUUCAGGUGAAGGGAUAGGGAUGUCUUAAUUCUCUAUGUGACCUUUGUAAAGACAAAUGUAACCUGCCCCGGACCCGCCCCUGACUCAAAUUAUCCCUGUUCCCCCAUCUGAUGGCGUCCUGGUUCCCCCGGUCUAAUCGCAUUCCAAAGACGGGAUACCGGGGAAAACUCCUGGUGCUUCAAAUUGCCAGUCCACUACAGCGAUUGCGAACACACCGGGGAAACCGGAACAUGAAUAGAUAGAGGACGAGAGCGCUAGCAGAGGGGUGUGUGGUGUGCUGCUUUUGGGCUUCCACUUUUUAGAUUUUAGACUUUAAUUAAACGUAUAUGACUAUAGGUGAGGGUGGCAUCUUUUAAGUUUUUGAUAAACAUUGCAUCCACUUUGACGUAUAGGGCAUAUGAUGUCGUAUGACGGUGUAGUAGUGGUGUCCCAGUUUUCCCCCAUUACACUCUGUUUUAAGGAGCAACGGGAAGGGGUGAGGCGUAGGGGUAUAAAUUAGAAUUGGGCCUUAGUACACAAAAUAUGCUUUUUAGUUAUUUUGAGCAGAACUUGGUGGAGAACUAUUGCAGGAACCCUUCUAGAGACUCCAGGCCUUGGUGCUAUACCACAGAUCCAGACAAAAGAUGGGAAUACUGCUCUAUUCCUCAAUGCACAAAUAAACCACCCACAGUUGUACAAGAGCA